rnacentral:rRNA from 1 species
AGAACCUUACCAGGUCUUGACAUCUUUUGAUCACCUGAGAGAUCAGGUUUCCCCUUCGGGGGCAAAAUGACAGGUGGUGCAUGGUUGUCGUCAGCUCGUGUCGUGAGAUGUUGGGUUAAGUCCCGCAACGAGCGCAACCCUUAUGACUAGUUGCCAGCAUUUAGUUGGGCACUCUAGUAAGACUGCCGGUGACAAACCGGAGGAAGGUGGGGAUGAUGUCAAAUCAUCAUGCCCCUUAUGACCUGGGCUACACACGUGCUACAAUGGAUGGUACAACGAGUUGCGAGACCGCGAGGUCAAGCUAAUCUCUUAAAGCCAUUCUCAGUUCGGACUGUAGGCUGCAACUCGCCUACACGAAGUCGGAAUCGCUAGUAAUCGCGGAUCAGCACGCCGCGGUGAAUACGUUCCCGGGUCUUGUACACACCGCCU